rnacentral:rRNA from 1 species
UACGUAGGGGGCUAGCGUUGUCCGGAAUCAUUGGGCGUAAAGCGCGUGUAGGCGGUCCGGUAAGUCCGCUGUGAAAGUCGAGGGCUCAACCCUCGAAUGCCGGUGGAUACUGUCGGGCUUGAGUACGGGAGAGGCGAGUGGAAUUCCUGGUGUAGCGGUGAAAUGCGCAGAUAUCAGGAGGAACACCGGUGGCGAAGGCGGAUCUCUGGGCAUGAUCUGACGCUGAGGAGCGAAAGUGUGGGGAGCGAACAGG